GUACUAGCUAUGGCAGUACAUAUUCUAAAAUUGGUAUGAUACAAAGAUUAGCAUGGACCCUGCACAAGGAUGACAUGCAAAUUCAUGAAGUGUUUUAAGUAAGU
rfam:Octopus bimaculoides Scaffold20705_contig_124, whole genome shotgun sequence.